rnacentral:rRNA from 1 species
GACGAACGCUGGCGGCGUGCUUAACACAUGCAAGUCGAACGGAAAGGCCCUGCUUUUGUGGGGUGCUCGAGUGGCGAACGGGUGAGUAACACGUGAGUAACCUGCCCUUGACUUUGGGAUAACUUCAGGAAACUGGGGCUAAUACCGGAUAGGAGCUCCUGCUGCAUGGUGGGGGUUGGAAAGUUUCGGCGGGUGGGGAUGGACUCGCGGCUUAUCAGCUUGUUGGGGGUGUAGUGGCAUACCAAGGCUUUGGCGGGUAGCCGGCCUGAGAGGGUGCCCGGCCAUAGUGGGACUGAGAGACGGCCGAGACUCAUACGGGGGGCAGCAGUGGAGAAUAUUGCACAAUGGGCGGAAGUCUGAUACAGCAACGCCGCGUGCGGGAUGACGGCCUUGGUGGUGUAAACCUCUUUCUCCUGUGACGAAGCGUGAGUGACGGUAAUUGGUAAAGAAGCACCGGCUAACUACGUG